rnacentral:lncRNA from 1 species
GACUAUGGAGGGAGGACAGGAGAUCAAAGACCAAGGAAGUAAGGAGGAAGAGAAAGCCCCCGCUGCUUCCGCAAAUCAAUUCCUGGCAAUGCCUGCCUCUUCGUCUGUGCUCUAAGCUCCUGAGCAGAAUGCCACCUCUGUGGGAUGCCAGGCCUGAACAGAAGGGCUCUGGGGCACUGGGCAGGCAUGCAGGCCAGGCUG